rnacentral:rRNA from 1 species
AGUAUACAUGCAGUCGAGCGGACAGAUGGGAGCUUGCUCCCUGAUGUUAGCGGCGGACGGGUGAGUAACACGUGGGUAACCUGCCUGUAAGACUGGGAUAACUCCGGGAAACCGGGGCUAAUACCGGAUGGUUGUUUGAACCGCAUGGUUCAGACAUAAAAGGUGGCUUCGGCUACCACUUACAGAUGGACCCGCGGCGCAUUAGCUAGUUGGUGAGGUAACGGCUCACCAAGGCAACGAUGCGUAGCCGACCUGAGAGGGUGAUCGGCCACACUGGGACUGAGACACGGCCCAGACUCCUACGGGAGGCAGCAGUAGGGAAUCUUCCGCAAUGGACGAAAGUCUGACGGAGCAACGCCGCGUGAGUGAUGAAGGUUUUCGGAUCGUAAAGCUCUGUUGUUAGGGAAGAACAAGUGCCGUUCAAAUAGGGCGGCACCUUGACGGUACCUAACCAGAAAGCCACGGCUAACUACGUGCCAGCAGCCGCGGUAAUACGUAGGUGGCAAGCGUUGUCCGGAAUUAUUGGGCGUAAAGGGCUCGCAGGCGGAUUCUUAAGUCUGAUGUGAAAGCCCCCGGCUCAACCGGGGAGGGUCAUUGGAA